GGAGUGCUUGCACUCUGUGAAACAAGAUACAGGCUAGCGGCGGACGGGUGAGUAACACGUGGGUAACCUGCCCAAGAGAUCGGGAUAAUACCUGGAAACAGAUGCUAAUACCGGAUAACAACAGAUGAUGCCUAUCAACUGUUUAAAAGAUGGUUCUGCUAUCACUCUUGGAUGGACCUGCGGUGCAUUAGCUAGUUGGUAGGGUAACGGCCUACCAAGGCGAUGAUGCAUAGCCGAGUUGAGAGACUGAUCGGCCACAUUGGGACUGAGACACGGCCCAAACUCCUACGGGAGGCAGCAGUAGGGAAUCUUCUACAAUGGACGCAAGUCUGAUGGAGCAACGCCGCGUGAGUGAAGAAGGGUUUCGGCUCGUAAAGCUCUGUUGUUGGUGAAGAA
rnacentral:rRNA from 1 species